rnacentral:rRNA from 1 species
GGACAACCUACCCUUAGGUCGGGGAUAAACCCGGGAAACUGGGUAUAAUACCCGAUAGAUCUCGGCUGCUGGAAUGCAUCGAGAUCGAAAGCUCCGGCGCCUAAGGAUGGGUCUGCGGCCUAUCAGGUAGUAGUGGGUGUAGCGUACCUACUAGCCUACGACGGGUACGGGUUGUGAGAGCAAGAGCCCGGAGAUGGAUUCUGAGACACGAAUCCAGGCCCUACGGGGUGCAGCAGGCGCGAAAACUUUGCAAUAAGCGAAAGCUUGACAGGGCUAUCCCGAGUGCCAUCCGCUGAGGAAGGCUUUUACCCAGUCUAGAACGCUGGGGGAAUAAGGAGAGGGCAAGUCUGGUGUCAGCCGCCGCGGUAAUACCAGCUCUCCAAGUGGUGUGGAUGUUUAUUGGGCCUAAAGCAUCCGUAGCUGGCUAGGUCAGUCCCUUGUUAAAUCCACCGAAUUAAUCGUUGGAUUGCGGGGGAUACUGCUUGGCUAGGGGACGAGAGAGGCAGACGGUAUUUUCGGGGUAGGGGUGAAAUCCUAUAAUCCCGGGAAGACCACCAGUGGCGAAGGCUGUCUGCUAGAACGCGCCCGACGGUGAGGGAUGAAAGCUGGGGGAGCGAACCGGAUUAGAUACCCGGGUAGUCCCAGCUGUAAACGAUGCAGACUAGGUGUUUGGACGGCCACGUGCCGUUCUAGUGCCGCAGGGAAGCUGUUAAGUCUGCCGCCUGGGGAGUACGAUCGCAAGAUUGAAACUUAA